ACGAGGCCAGACAAAUUCCACACAAGUCAUGUUAAGCGGUGACGUCUUAUUCUUAUCUAGAGAGCAUGCUGAAUCAAUACUAUCGAUGUAGACUGGAAUAACCAGAUGCUAGCGAUAGCCAUUCGAUUGAGAUUUCUGGCGUAUUUCGCCAAAACAACUAAUUUGAAAUUAGAGUAAAAACAGAAACGAUUGAAGGUGAGUUUACUUCCAAAACCAAUUCAGAGGUUGAACAGGCGACCUUAUUCCUUGUGACGUACACGCGGGAAAUCGAAACCACGCCACUUGACUCAAUCAAUGAAGGCCUUAUGAUCCAUCGUGCACGCGGACGUAGAAGUUAUCGUCAUAGCAAGGAAAUGGGGUUUAGUGUUCUACUUGUCUGCACCUAUUUACUGGGUUUGACAGGUUCUUAAACAUACAUUAUACAAGAGCUAAAUCUGCCUAUUGCAGGUCUUUAUUUAGGCCUGAAAUGUUAUCUAAAUUAUUAAUUAGACAUUUAUUAACAUGAAAAGACCUUAAUCAACUCUCGAUGCCAUCCUAUGUGUCGGAUUUUCACUGGAUUUGAAUCCAGUAAUGUUGAUCGAGGCUAGACCUAACAUUGAAUAGCUAAUAUCUCGGUUCAGAGUGGAGCAAUUUGACUGAAAUAUUCAGCAUAUCCCCUUUACAUUAUCUAGCUUUUAACUAUUAUAGUGAGAACUGGCAACUCUUUACAUUAUCUAGUUUUUAACUAUUAUAGUGAGAACUGGCAACUCUUUAUCUAGCUUUUAUCUAUUAUAGUGAGAACUGGCAACUCUUUAUCUAAUCUCUCAUAAUGUAUCUUUACAUUAUCUAGCUUUUAACUAUUAUAGUGAGAACUGGCAACUCUUUAUCUAAUCUCCAAUAAUGUAUCUUUAAUAAAGGCUAUGUU